rnacentral:snRNA from 1 species
UAACAUGAUUGACAGAAUACAGACAAUUCUCCCGCACCACCAUUGACCACCAGGGUUGAUUCAACUGAUCUGGCUGACUAGGCAGGUGUCCCCUUCCCUCAUCACCACUUCAUGCACAUGUGUCCCUCCUGAAGCUGUGUGUCCAGUUGAAGAGGAUCGUUCUUCGAAAUGGAAGACCAGUCUUCAAUCAAGGGUACACGCCCUGCUAGAACCUCCAAACAAGUUCACAAAGGGCCACGCCAAAACUGCCUGCUGCCCGUGGAU